rnacentral:rRNA from 1 species
GUAGGUGGCGAGCGUUAUCCGGAUUUACUGGGCGUAAAGCGCGUGCAGGCGGUUCCGUAAGUCGGACGUGAAAGCUCCUGGCUUAACUGGGAGAGGCCGUUCGAUACUGCGGGACUUGAGGUCGGGAGAGGGACGUGGAAUUUCCGGUGUAGUGGUGGAAUGCGUAGAUAUCGGAAGGAACACCAGUGGCGAAGGCGGCGUCCUGGCCCGCACCUGACGCUGAGACGCGAAAGCGUGGGUAGCGAACGGGAUUAGAUACCCCGGUAGUCCACGCCGUAAACGGUGGAUACUAGGUGUUGGUGGCUAUCGUCAUCAGUGCCGUAGCUAACGCGUUAAGUAUCCCGCCUGGGAACUACGGCCGCAAGGCUA